UACAGAGGUGGCAAGCGUUGUUCGGAAUUACUGGGCGUAAAGGGCGCGUAGGCGGCCAUCUAAGUCAGACGUGAAAUCCCCCGGCUUAACCUGGGAACUGCGUCUGAUACUGGAAGGCUUGAGUAUGGGAGAGGGAUGUAGAAUUCCAGGUGUAGCGGUGAAAUGCGUAGAUAUCUGGAGGAAUACCGGUGGCGAAGGCGGCAUCCUGGACCAUUACUGACGCUGAGGCACGAAAGCGUGGGGAGCAAACAGG
rnacentral:rRNA from 1 species